CGGGGUGAGUAAUGUCUGGGAAACUGCCUGAUGGAGGGGGAUAACUACUGGAAACGGUAGCUAAUACCGCAUAACGUCUUCGGACCAAAGUGGGGGACCUUCGGGCCUCACGCCAUCGGAUGUGCCCAGAUGGGAUUAGCUAGUAGGUAGGGUAAUGGCUCACCUAGGCGACGAUCCCUAGCUGGUCUGAGAGGAUGACCAGCCACACUGGAACUGAGACACGGUCCAG
rnacentral:rRNA from 1 species